rnacentral:rRNA from 1 species
GACGUAGGGCGCGAGCGUUGUCCGGAUUUAUUGGGCGUAAAGAGCUCGUAGGCGGCUUGUCGCGUCGAAUGUGAAAAACCCACAGCUCAACUGUGGGCUUGCAUUCGAUACGGGCAGGCUCGAGUUCGGUAGGGGAGACUGGAAUUCCUGGUGUAGCGGUGAAAUGCGCAGAUAUCAGGGAGGGAACACCCGGUGGGCGAAAGGCGGGGUCUCUGGGGCCCGAUACUGACGCUGAGGAGCGAAAAGCGUGGGGGAGCGAACAGG